rnacentral:rRNA from 1 species
CGGACGGGUGAGUAACACGUGGAUAACCUACCUAUAAGACUGGGAUAACUUCGGGAAACCGGAGCUAAUACCGGAUAAUAUUUUGAACCGCAUGGUUCAAAAGUGAAAGACGGUCUUGCUGUCACUUAUAGAUGGAUCCGCGCUGCAUUAGCUAGUUGGUAAGGUAACGGCUUACAAAGGCAACGAUGCAUAGCCGACCUGAGAGGGUGAUCGGCCACACUGGAACUGAGACACGGUCCAG